rnacentral:rRNA from 1 species
GAUGAACGCUAGCUACAGGCUUAACACAUGCAAGUCGAGGGGCAGCAUGGAACGGAAGGCUUCGGCUGGAAGGUUCAUGUUCUAGCGGCGGACGGGUGAGUAACGCGUGAACAAUCUGUCCCAGACAGGGGGAUAACACUUGGAAACAGGUGCUAAUACCGCAUAAGACCACGAGAUCACAUGGUUUUGGGUAAAAGGAGCAAAUCCGGUCUGGGGUGAGUUCGCGUCCGAUUAGCUAGUUGGCGAGGUAACGGCCCACCAAGGCGACGAUCGGUAGCCGACCUGAGA